rnacentral:rRNA from 1 species
GAUGAACGCUGGCGGCGUGCCUAAUACAUGCAAGUCGAACGGAAAGGUGCUGCUUUUGUGGCUUGCUCGAGUGGCGAACGGGUGAGUAACACGUGAGUAACCCGCCCUUGUCUUUGGGAUAACUUUAGGAAACAGGGGCUAAUACCGGAUAGGAGAUCCUGCUGCAUGGUGGGGGUUGGAGAGUUUCGGCCGUUGGGGAUGGAUUCGCGGCUUAUCAGCUUCAUGGUGGGGUAGGGGCUUACCAAGUCUUCGACGGGUAGCCCGCCUGAGAGGGUGACCGGCGACCAUGGUACUGCGAUACGGCGCAGUCUCCUACGGUAGGCAGCAGUGGGGAGUAUUGCGCAAUGGGCGGAAGCCUGAGACAGCAAUGCCGCGUUCGGAAUGCCGGCUUUCGAGUUGUAAACCGCUUUCGAAUGUGCCGAGGACGGAGUGACGGUACUGGGUAAGGAAGCACCGGCUAACUACGUG